rnacentral:tRNA from 1 species
CAGAAGAUAGUUUAAUGAGAAUGCCAGCUUUGGGGGCUGGUGGCAGAGGUUUGAGUCCUCUUUUUCUGA